rnacentral:lncRNA from 1 species
CCCGCAGCCUCCCGAUUGCACGGGUGUGCGUUACACAAGUGUGCGCUGUUGUGCCCGCGUGUGUGUAUCGCGCAUCCGUGCGCACAGCUCCGAGGGGACCGCAGCCCCCCCCCGGAUACGCGUGCAAGCAGCUGCACGCACACGCUGACACACCUGCAGGGUCUGCAGCCCACGCUGUUUGCACGGCGGGCACGCAUUGCACGCACACACAUCGCGUGUGCACACUGCUGCACGGAAUGAGGCCCCAGGGCACGUGUGCACGCAUGCACACAGAUAUAAACACAGAUGUAAACAGAGCUCUGCUGGCAGCGGCUGCAGCUUCUGGCUUCCAUGUGCAAGCACGUGCACACACUGCGAGGCUGCAGCCCCAGAAUGCACACGCAUACACACGCACCCACACACACACACCUGCAGGGCCUGCACCGCUGUUGUGUGUACACACACAUUGCACACAUGUGCACACACUGCUCACACACACUGCAGGGAGAGACCACAACCUCAGUGUGCUCACACACUGCACACACAUUGCACACACCCCUGCAGUGAGGAACUGCAGCCCUGCUGCUUGCACACGCACACACUGCACAUCCACUGGCACUCUUGCUCACACCUGCACAUCUCCCUGCAGAGCCUGCAGCGUGCACACACACACACACCUAUCCAUGCACACACACACACACACCUAUCCAUGCACACACACACACCUAUCCAUGCACACACACACACACACCUAUCCAUGCACACACACAGACACCUAUCCAUGCACACACACACCUAUCCAUGCACACACACACCUAUCCAUGCACACACACACACAUCCCACAGGUGUCCACGCACACACACACAACGCACACGUUUGCUUAUUAUGCACAGCCCUGCAGGCAGGGACUGCAGCCCCAUUGUGUGCUCACGCACAGUGCACAAACACUCACGGGGCUCACACACACAUCCCUGCAGUAGGGGGGUGCGUGGGGGGGCUGCAGCCUUGCCGUGUGCACACACACAGAUACACGUAUGUACCUGCACCUACACGGCUGUUCUCAUAGCAGCACACACACCCCCCCUGCAGGGCCGUGCUGCACACACACACACACACAGAGCCCCCCGCACACCCUGCACAAACCCCGCACCCCAGGGCCACACACAGGGCACGCUCCUCCGC